GUAGCGCAGCGUAGUGGUAGCAUGCAUGUGUGUUGAUCAGGCGGUCGAGGGAUCGAUUCCCCGCGGCGCAACA
rnacentral:tRNA from 1 species